GCCAAUAGAAUAUAUUUACUUGCUUAUUAUUUGAUAUUCCUUAUCAAUUAAAGGCGGUAGUUUUUUUUAAUGGUUUUUUUAUAAUCUACAGGAGACAAUAUGUCUACAACAGGAAAGGUCAAAUGGUUUGACGCAAAGAAAGGUUUUGGUUUCAUUGAGCAGGAGAGUGGUGACGAUGUAUUCGUUCAUUUUCGUGCGAUUCAAGGUGAUGGUUACAAAUCACUAGAUGAAGGCCAAGAAGUGGAAUUUGAUUUAGAAGAUGGCGAAAAAGGUCCACAAGCAGCAAAUGUUGUUUUAGGAUAAUACAAAGUUCACAAGUUAGAAAACCCGACUUACUUGGUCGGGUUUUUUAUU
rfam:Bathymodiolus thermophilus thioautotrophic gill symbiont strain BAT/CrabSpa'14 BATSymA_Scaffold33, whole genome shotgun sequence.